GGUUAAGCUACUAAGGGCGUACGGUGGAUGCCUAGGCGCCAAGAGCCGAUGAAGGACGUGGCACACUGCGAUAAGCCUCGGGGAGCCGUGUGCAGGCGCUAAUACCCGGGGAUCUCCGAAUGGGGAAACCCGCCUGGGGGAAUGCCCAGGCACCCCCAGCUGAACACAUAGGCUGGGUGGAGGGCACGCGGGGAACUGAAACAUCUUAGUACCCGCAGGAAAAGAAAUCAACACCCGGUUGAUAAGGCCGGGCACCGCUGCUGAGGGCGGCGGUGGAGAUUCCCUGAGUAGUGGCGAGCGAAAGGGGAACAGCCCAAACCCGUCACGUGCCAAAGGCCGCAGCCGUUGCGUGGCGGGGGUUGCAGGACAACAGCGGAGACCGCUGCGGAGGUCUCAGGGAGUUACAAAUCCGCCCUCUAGCGGAAAGGUCCUGGAAAGGCCUACCAUAGAGGGUGAUAGUCCCGUACGCGAAAGGGGGCGGACUCC
rnacentral:rRNA from 1 species